UACGAAGGGGGCUAGCGUUGCUCGGAAUUACUGGGCGUAAAGCGCACGUAGGCGGAUCAUUAAGUCGGGUGUGAAAGCCCUGGGCUCAACCCAGGAAGUGCACUCGAAACUGUCAGGCUUGAAUAUGGAAGAGGGUCGCGGAAUUCCCGGUGUAGAGGUGAAAUUCGUAGAUAUCGGGAGGAACACCAGUGGCGAAGGCGGCGACCUGGGCCAAUAUUGACGCUGAGGUGGCGAAAAGCGUGGGGAGCAAACAGGG
rnacentral:rRNA from 1 species